GACUGCUAUCCGGGUAAGACUAAGCCAUGCAAGUCGAAUGGAACAGCUUGUUCCAUGGCGAAACUGCUCAGUAACAAGUAAUCAACUUACCCUUCAGUGGAGAAUAACCUCGGGAAACUGAGGCUAAUACUUCAUAGUUGGAAAUUCCUGGAAUGGUUUUCCAUCGAAAGAUAUUUCUAAAUGCGGAAAAUUCGCUGAAGGAUAGGAUCGCUUUCGAUUACGGUUGUUGGUGAGGUAAUGGCUCACCAAGCCUAUGAUCGAUAAGGGCCGUGAGAGCGGUAGCCCUGAGAUGGAUACUGAGACAAUGAUCCAGGCCUUACGAGGCGCAGCAGGCGCGAAACCUUUACAAUGCACGAAAGUGUGAUAAGGUUACCCGGAGUGCCAAAAUUAAAUUUUGGCUGUUAUAGGUGUGUAAAUAACCCUAUGAGAAAGGAGAGGGCAAGGCUGGUGCCAGCCGCCGCGGUAAUUUGAGCUGUAUCAGUGCCGUAGGGAAACUGUUGGCGCGCCGCCUGGGAAGUACGCUCGCAAGGGUGAAACUAAAGGAAAU
rnacentral:rRNA from 1 species